rnacentral:misc_RNA from 1 species
GAACGCACAUUGCGCCCGCCCGCAUUCUGGCGGGCAUGCCUGUUCGAGCGUCAUUACAACACUCGACUUCCCGGGCCCAGCCCGUGGAAGUCGGCAUUGGGGAUCGGCAGCACACCGCCGGCCCUGAAAUGGAGUGGCGGCCCGUCCGCGGCGACCUCUGCGUAGUAAUCCAACUCGCACCGGAACCCCGACGUGGCCACGCCGUAAAACACCCAACUUCUGAACGUUGACCUCGAAUCAGGUAGGACUACCCGCUGAACUUAAG